rnacentral:rRNA from 1 species
UACGUAGGGCGCAAGCGUUAUCCGGAAUUAUUGGGCGUAAAGAGCUCGUAGGCGGUUUGUCGCGUCUGCUGUGAAAACUGGAGGCUCAACCUCCAGCCUGCAGUGGGUACGGGCAGACUAGAGUGCGGUAGGGGAGAUUGGAAUUCCUGGUGUAGCGGUGGAAUGCGCAGAUAUCAGGAGGAACACCGAUGGCGAAGGCAGAUCUCUGGGCCGUAACUGACGCUGAGGAGCGAAAGGGUGGGGAGCAAACCGG